AUAGCGCAUAGUACUGUGAAGGAAAGGUGAAAAGGACCCCGGGAGGGGAGUGAAAGAGAACCUGAAACCUUGUGCCUACAAGCACAUAGAGCCCGUCAAAGGGUGAUAUGGUACUUUUUGUAGAACGGUCCGGCGAGCGAUUGUACGUUGCGAGCUUAAGGUCUUAAGGACUGGAGGCGUAGCGAGAGCGAGUCUAAACAGGGCGUUUAGUAGCGUGCAAUGGGCCCGAAACCGGGUGACCUACCCAUGAUCAGGCUGAAGUGAAAGUAAAAUUUCAUGGAGGGCCGAACCGACCUCCGUUGAAAAGGCGGCGGAUGAAUUGUGGGUAGCGGAGAAAUUCCAAUCGAACUCGGAGAUAGCUGGUUCUCCCCGAAAUAGCUUUAGGGCUAGCCUCAUGUUAGAUUUCCGGAGGUAAAGCACUGAAUGGCCUAGCGUCCGAGAGGAUAGCGAAGCCUAUCAAACUAAGAAUGCCGGAAUAUUGAUGCAUGGGAGUCAGACAGUGUGAGAUAAAUCUCAUUGUCAAAAGGGAAACAGCCCAGAUCUACAGCUAAGGUCCCAAAUUGUAUCUAAGUGGAAAACGAUGUGGAAAUACGCAGACAACCAGGAUGUUGGCUCAGAAGCAGCCACUCAUUUAAAGAGUGCGUAAUAGCUCACUGGUCGAGCGUCUCUGCGCGGAAAAUUUAACGGGGCUAAGAUACAAACCGAAGCUUAGGCUGCACUUUUAGUGCGGGGUAGGGGAGCGUUGUGUAAGCGGAGAAACGAUAGCGUAAGCGGUCGUGGAGUUUACAGAAGUGAGAAUGCCGGAAUGAGUAGCGCGAAUGAUGUGAGAAUCAUCAUGGCCGGAAACCUCAGGUUUUUGGAGGAAGGUUCGUCCGCUCCAAGUUAGGCGGGAGCUAAGGUGAGGCCGAAAGGCGUAGCCGAUGCACAGACGGUAGAGAUUCCGUCCCCACCGAAAGAUUUAAGCGCAGGGACACUUUUAGAAGGUCGGAGCCAGGUGUUGGUUCUGGUAGAGAUCGAGGGAAAUUUAGUACCGAAGUCCGGCUGGAUAAGAGGCGAGAAAAGCUGCGUGUAUAUCUAAGGUGCCCGUACCGCAAACCGACACAGGUAGGUAGGAAGAAGAUUCUAAGGCCAACGGGAGAAGGGUUGUUAAGGAACUCGGCAAGUUGACCCCGUAACUUCGGAAUAAGGGGUGCUCAUGAAAGUGAGCCGCAGAGAAUAGGCCCAGGCAACUGUUUACCAAAAACACAGGUUUGUGCUAAAUCGAAAGAUGACGUAUACGAGCUGACGCCUGCCCGGUGCUGGAAGGUUAAAAGGAGAUGUGCAAGCAUUGAAUUGAAGCCCCAGUGAACGGCGGCCGUAACUAUAACGGUCCUAAGGUAGCGAAAUUCCUUGUCAGGUAAGUUCUGACCCGCACGAAAGGCGUAAUGAUUUGGGCACUGUCUCAACAGCCCGCCCGGCGAAAUUGUAGUACCGGUGAAGAUGCCGGUUACCCGCGACAAGACGGAAAGACCCCAUGGAGCUUUACUGUAGCCUAAUAUUGGGUUUCGAUGUUGCAUGCACAGGAUAGAUGGGACACUGGGAAGCAGGUGCUUUGGCGCUUGUGGAGUGGCCGUUGGGAUACCAUCCUUGCGAUAUUGGAAUUCUAACCUGCGCCUUUGAAUCAAGGCGGGGGACAUUGUUAGGUGGGCAGUUUGACUGGGGCGGUCGCCUCCUAAAGAGUAACGGAGGCG
rnacentral:rRNA from 1 species